GAGGAAGCAGGGCUGUAUCUGCCAGACAAGCACUGGCUGUCAUAGCACAAAGGCUCUCACUAUAACCACUUUCUCCUCCCAAACUCUUGCUGGAUACUUGAGGCAGAUCCUCAGCACCCUAGAGGCUGCGGUGCCAGGAAGGAGCUGUUGGGCCCAUGAUAGCCAAAGCCACUGAUGCUACUGGGUAAGCAGACCCAGCCACACCAAGUCCCACCCGUUCAGAUGCUACCAAGGCUCAGUAUGAGGCCAGUUUCCUCCUCCCAAAUCCCUACUGAGUAGGUGAGUGGAAUUUUCACUUUGUGAUGACCACAAUGAGAAUGAA